AUUCACACAGAAUCAAAAAAUGAAAACCCCCAAAAAAAUAUAUCAAUUAAAAUUCCCAAAUAUUUAUUCCUUCGAUCAAACAAAGUAAAACUCAUUCAGUGCAAGUGGUAGCAUUGGUGGACAUGCGAGUGACGAGAGAUGACGGUAACAAUGGAAAUAAAUGGCAAACUUGAGUCAUGUGAUCAUGCAAGUCAAUGUUGAUUCAAUGUUAG
rnacentral:misc_RNA from 1 species